AGCGAACGCUGGCGGCAGGCUUAACACAUGCAAGUCGAGCGGGCACUUUCGGGUGUCAGCGGCGGACGGGUGAGUAACGCGUGGGAACGUGCCCUCUGGUUCGGAAUAACUCAGGGAAACUUGAGCUAAUACCGGAUACGCCCUUUUGGGGAAAGGCUUGCUGCCGGAGGAUCGGCCCGCGUCUGAUUAGCUAGUUGGUGAGGUAACGGCUCACCAAGGCGACGAUCAGUAGCUGGUCUGAGAGGAUGAUCAGCCACACUGGGACUGAGACACGGCCCAGACUCCUACGGGAGGCAGCAGUGGGGAAUAUUGGACAAUGGGCGCAAGCCUGAUCCAGCCAUGCCGCGUGAGUGAUGAAGGCCUUAGGGUUGUAAAGCUCUUUUGUCCGGGACGAUAAUGACGGUACCGGAGGAAUAAGCCCCGGCUAACUUCGUG
rnacentral:rRNA from 1 species